ensembl:lncRNA
GAGAGCAAAACUCAGAAGAGCAGCCAUUCUCCACCAUGAACUAUGGUAAAAACAAACACCGCUCACGCUUCACAGAUGACAGCUUACAGUUUUGUGUAAAGAUGAAGUUACUUUGUACAGCGCCGAUUUGCAGACGCUGUGCACACAGGUUCAUGAGCAGAAGUCCCAUUGUACCACGGCAGAUCCGACAAUGUUUGCAUGAACACGUUUUGAAACAUUACGUUAUGGACCACUUUUCACACAUGGUUGGUGUACCCAAACAGCCGGCUGUAGCUUUUCAACUCACAGCCCGACACACACCCAAAAACAGCCGAGAGCACAGACUACGCCCGAGAGGCGUGAUUGCAGGUGCCGCUCAGGUGGGUCCACCUCCCCUGCAGCGGCACUGCAGACCACGCCCCGCCACACACAUCAAACACGUAAAAUAAAUAUUUAUGCACUUUUGCAUUCACUUUUUGUUUUUUGUUAUUUUUACACAGUGUUCUGAAUGAUGAACAAUGGUCUACAGCCAAUCUUGUGUAUUAUUAUACAAACUUUGGUUGUAAGAUUCAGAUAACUAUUUAAAAUCCGACGAAUAGUAAUAUGUGUGCCUCUU